rnacentral:rRNA from 1 species
AUUGAACGCUGGCGGCAUGCCUUACACAUGCAAGUCGAACGGCAGCACGGGAGCAAUCCUGGUGGCGAGUGGCGAACGGGUGAGUAAAGUAUCGGAACGUACCCAGUCGUGGGGGAUAACGUAGCGAAAGUUACGCUAAUACCGCAUACGAUCUAUGGAUGAAAGCGGGGGAUCGCAAGACCUCGCGCGAUUGGAGCGGCCGAUAUCAGAUUAGGUAGUUGGUGGGGUAAAGGCUCACCAAGCCGACGAACUGUAGCUGGUCUGAGAGGACGACCAGCCCAACUGGGACUGAGAAACGGCCCAGACUCCUACGGGAGGCAGCAGUGGGGAAUUUUGGACAAUGGGCGAAAGCCUGAUCCAGCCAGGCCGCGUGCAGGAUGAAGGCCUUCGGGUUGUAAACUGCUUUUGUACGGAACGAAAAGGUUUGGCCUAAUAAGCUGAGCUCAUGACGGUACCGUAAGAAUAAGCACCGGCUAACUACGUGCCAGCAGCCGCCGUAA